AAUACAAUUAAGAAGAUAGAAAAAAAUACAAUUAAGAAGAUAGAAAAAAAUGCAAUUAAGAUAGAAAUGUUUUUGUUAGCAACAUGUUGUUGCUUCAAAGUCAUAAUUUGUAAUUUAGUUUAUAUUCACUAUUGACUAGAUCAAAUACAGGUACAGGUUGUCCAACUGUAUAAAUUGUAAACAAAUUAUGCAUUUUAAAGAGCUGUAUUGAGGGCACGCUCACAGGAAAGCUUAGAGAGCGGCAUUUGAAAGACCCCAACCUCGUCUUUCUAUAGAUACACAGCAUGUAGGGUUGUCUUUUACAAUGCCUGAGUAAAAAGGCUUCGAACAUGAACCCGUCGGCGUGUUCAAUAACAUGGGGGCGGCCCUAAUAGUGUUAAACCUUUUCAUACAGAGGGCUGAGUGCUUCAAUGGUGCCUUAAAAAAGUCCUGGAUAAACAAAUGGCAGAACCAUUUUGAGGUACACAUUUCAAUUGUAUAAUGUAUUAUACCAUGUUUUAUUCAAGGGCCCUAAUACAUGGUACUUGUAAGAGUAUAUUUUGUUAUUUUACUAGUUGUUUUAAUGCGUUAGUCAUACAUUACCAGCUGUCCUAUCCCCCCAUCCCCAUUUUUUUAGUAAGAAACUGUCUUUGCAUAAAUGCAAAAUCAGAUUUAUUGUUAUUACUAUUAAUAUUGUCAACAAGUUUUAUGGCACUUUAUUUUCUUAAAUAGGCCAUGGUGCUGUCUGAGAUACUUGAUCUGCAAAAUCCAAUUCAUAUCCAUUGCUUGCAGUUUUCCUACCUUUCUCUGAUCCAAAAUGAACUGACUGUAGAACAAAAGGAAUGGAACCAACACAAAAUCAGGAAACAGAAUAAUGCUGCAGGUCCCUUUGGGAAACCAGAGGUCUUGUACAUUGCACCACCCACAGGCACAACAAACAUGCUGUGUUCUGUUGAUGAUGACCUUCUCACGUAUGCUGAUCGAUUCACAUGCACUGAAGAAGAGCCAUUGUCUGUUGCGAAUGCUGCAUUUAGGCAGAUUUGUGAGUCAGUGCUUGAGCAUGCAAACUACUGUGGGCAUUCAACAGUUGAAGAAGCCACAGCUUCUUAUAUGUUGUUGAGCACAAGAAUAGUGUUGGCUGUAGAAAACUUAAAUAGACCAGCUCCAUUAACAUUUUCUGAAGCAUGUGCAUGCUAUGACAGACUUGCCCUGGAGGGAUGGAAUUAAUGUUAAGCAUUAUCUCCAGCCAAUGUAAGCCAUUCAUACCUGACUUUUUUUUUUUUUUUAAUUAAGUUCAUGAACAGACCAUUUGUUUCAUAAAUGGUUCACUUUUCUCUACUGCACAAACUACAACUUCUUCGCUCUGUAUUGACUUUGAAAGGUGCUUUAAGACAACUGUGUAAGACCGGCAGCUGUAUAAAUGAAUGUCCUCCGAGAUUGUGAGCUCCCACUAUUUCUAGUAAAUAAAGAAAACAUCACAAGUCAUUUCCCUUGUUCAACAGAUUCAUUUAUUUUUGUAUAAGAUAACUUGUAUUCCGCGUUUUACAAUUUUGUUGGAUGUAAGUAAAUACUUCCAGAACAAAAUACAGCUUGAUUAAAUAUUCCAUAUGCAUUUCAAAUUCUGUUCAAAUUAUUUGCAAAAGUUUUAUUAAAAAAAACACAAAUUUCUUAAACAACUCAAGAAUCCUUAAUGUUUAAAACUUUUUUUUUCAUUAUCCUGUAGAUUAAAGAGAAAGUAUCAGGGUUUUUAAAAAACAGAGUUAUCACUCCCCACGUUGCUACAGCUGUUAACACACCUGCAACUUUAACCUUCAUUGUUAACAUUCUGACAAGAACUAUGUAGUGGAGAGCAUGAACAAAAAA